rnacentral:rRNA from 1 species
AGAGUUUGAUCCUGGCUCAGAUUGAACGCUGGCGGCAGGCCUAACACAUGCAAGUCGAACGGUAACAGGAAGCAGCUUGCUGCUUUGCUGACGAGUGGCGGACGGGUGAGUAAUGUCUGGGAAACUGCCCGAUGGAGGGGGAUAACUACUGGAAACGGUAGCUAAUACCGCAUAACGUCGCAAGACCAAAGAGGGGGACCUUCGGGCCUCUUGCCAUCGGAUGUGCCCAGAUGGGAUUAGCUAGUUGGUGAGGUAACGGCUCACCAAGGCGACGAUCCCUAGCUGGUCUGAGAGGAUGACCAGCCACACUGGAACUGAGACACGGUCCAGACUCCUACGGGAGGCAGCAGUGGGGAAUAUUGCACAAUGGGCGCAAGCCUGAUGCAGCCAUGCCGCGUGUAUGAAGAAGGCCUUCGGGUUGUAAAGUACUUUCAGCGGGGAGGAAGGGGAUGUGGUUAAUAACCGCAUUCAUUGACGUUACCCGCAGAAGAAGCACCGGCUAACUCCGUGCCAGCAGCCGCGGUAAUA